rnacentral:lncRNA from 1 species
GUGGCUAGAACUAGGGUAAUACUGGUGGGAAAAGAGAAAGAUGGACAAACUGGAGAAUACAAAAAAUAGGACUUCGUGAUGAACAGAUAGCGAGAGUUGAGGAUAUUCUGCUUCUGGCUUUUGCAAAUGGGUUUGUGAGCAGUAAUAUUAUUCACUAAGAAGAAGAGGGACAUUUAGACAUUUUGAGUUUGGGUGUGUGCAGUAACAGAAUUAGAGACGAAACGUGCUCCCUUGAGAGAACACCUCCUUUGAUAAAUCUAAUUUUUAUGCUUGCAAAUAACCUGUUCCUCAAAUUUGUUGAAACUGGUUAAAUCUUUUCAACUCCCCUAUCUCACACGUGUGUAUUUUCAGUAUAACAAGUAGCAUGCACAUCGGUUUGCAAAGUACACCUUUCACAUUGAUGGCAAAGGAUGAGCCUUGGGAGGACAAGAAUAUGGGGAAAGCCAUAUACUCUAAUAUACCUUGCACUGGAGUGACGUGCGUGGGUAGCUUCAGCAGCACCAAGUACAGACACAGCAUCUGACCGGCAACAACGCAGCUCUGUGGUUCACGCUCUCGCGUGUCCGCGGGAUCCCGCACGAGCUAAGCGACCGCUACUCUCGCGAGAGGUAGGGAGACCGCAGCUGCUUGGAUUCCCCAAACCGCGCUACGAGAGCUCCCACCUGCUGAGGAGCGGAGUCCGGCCACUCCCGCGGGCUUCUGGGAAUCGUAGUUCCGGGGCCGGACGAGGCCCGCCAGCCUUGCCCUGUGCUUUUGCGCAUGCGCGGCCCCGCUGGCCAGAGAAGUUCGUAGCCUUUGUGAGGCCCGGUGUGGGAGGUGCCAGCCUCGAGGGCCAAGCCGGUUCGGGACGGAGCGAAGCCUUUCGGAGGAGCCCCCCGAGGGGAGGCGGGAAGGAGGACCACGAGGCCUCGGGGCUUCCCGCUCCUCCGCGCGGAGAGGGCUGCGCUGGGGGGAGAGCUGAACCUUCGCGGCCGGGAGGUGGUGACCAUGGAGACAGAUAUGGCCGAAAUGCCUGGGAAGAGCGCUCUGUCUUCCCAGGAUUCUCCCUUUUCCCAAGAAAAGAGCACAGAAGAGGGAGAAGUGGCAGCUUUGCGCCUCACAGCCAGAUCACAGGUGAGUGAGUCUCUGCUGGUUAUUGAAAUUCCACCUUAUUUCUCGGAGUGCAGACGCACUCCCUUCUUUUUGAUGUGGAGCUUCUGUGUCCACUAGAGCUGAAUUCUAAUUCUAAGAGACAACUCGAGUGACUAAAGGGCUCAGUGGAAAAUGUUUUCUGCUUCUUCGUGGUAUCUUGUCCGCCUAGUAUUUAUUAUCACUCAGAAGGCGUGGAAGGAGCAUUGCUCUUCUUUAGCCCAUUAGCUAAUUUCUAUGCUUGUUAUUUGGGAAACGAUUUUAAAAGACAAUGUGGUGCAUACCUCUUAAAAUGUAUGUUUCACUAGGGGAAACAACAUACACAUGACUGUUAAGUAGGAAUUUAAGAAAACACCUGAAGUGCUGGAGUGAAUUAUGAACAUAGUGAGUACUCAAAUAGUUCAAAGGAAUGCUGGAAAAGGAAGCCUAUAGAAGAUUUAAAGAGUUAGAAUCCAGCCCAGCAAGAUGAUGAAUGUGGAUGUAUUUUAGAGGUGAACUGUUACCAAGUUACAACUCAGUUUCCAAACUCUCACUUCCCCAAGGGCAAAUACUAAGAAUUGCUGAAUUUAAGCGGUAGUUGUAUAUGGGUGAUUAGUGUGUUAGUCUCUCAACUUUUUGUAUGUCUGAACAUCUUUCUUAAACGAAGUUGAGCGGGAGUGUGUGUGUCAUACCACAUGGUGUGUGUCAUACCACAAUGUGUGUGUCAUACCACAAUGCAAAGAUUCCUCCACUAGCCUCUCUUUUUGCUACUUUAAUCCAAAGUGUGAAAGUGGACAUUGCACAUUGCUGCCGUUUGUCAACGUGAUUUCCCAGGAUCCUUGUAUACUUGUUUGCCUCCAUUGGUUUCUUAAAUACCUUACGUGAAUAUUGAAGACUUUAUUAGUCAAGAAGCUUUAAGUUGCACCUGAUGAAAACUCGAUUCAAACUGGCUUAAGCAAAAAGAGGUAUUUAUUGACUAUUAUAAGUGAAAAAUCCAGGUCUGGCUAAAAUUGAGUUCAGGCAGUGACAUUAGAAUCUAUUUUCUCCAUUUCAGUGACCUUUUCUUUUCUUUCUGUGUGUUUUGCAGUCAAGCAGGCUUUUCUUCUCGUGCAGGGUAGCCCCUAACAAAUUUAGGCCUACAUCUUGCCACGUUGAAGAUCAUUGAAAAGGGGCAUCUUCCCUUCUGGUCGUUCCAGAAGAAGGACUGAGGUUAACUCUAUAAUGGGUAUUAGGCCCAUUGUUGGACCAUUAUUGGCAAAUCUGAGUGUGAUGAUCAGACUAGAAAAUAUACCUGUACAUACACAUACAAACACACAUCCCACCCAUGGGUCAGAGAUGGAGUUGUACUACCUGAACUGCAUGGACUAAAAGUGGUCAGGCAUAGCAGCCGGAGGAAAGUCAGAGUACAGAUACCAAAAAAAGGGUGAAUGCUUUAUACAUUUCAGCACAUUAAUAUUAGAUUCAAGACUGCUUGUAUAGUAGCUUCAGAAUUGAUUAAACCUUUUAUGGAAAGUUUUAAAACUAUCCUUUUUGCAUUGCAUUGGAUUUUGUUUGAUGCUAAUACUGCAACUGUCUUUCUUAUUAGAAUUUGCCUGGGCUGUUUAUCUUUUACUUAUUAGACUUUUUUAAUAAUUAGAGUUUUAAUUUUUGCUCAUGGUAACCAGGUGAACGGUACAGACGUAUAUAAAUAUUAAAGCAUAUUACCCGUCCUUACUUUCCCAAGUUCAGUCCACCACCUCUC